CUGAGUCUUAAAAUCUCCCAAGAGGUGCAGAAAAUGAACACAUCUCAGAGCUCUCCCAGAAAACAGAAUGCUUGAGGGAGGCUCUGCUCUCCUCUCCAUCCUGGCUUCAAGAGCUGGAAAUGGAACUGGAGCACCAUAAGGUAGGAUGGAGCAGCUUUUGGAAGACUUGAAGGAGAAGCAACAGGAGAUCUUGCUUUUCCAGGAGGAAUAACUAACCCAGUUAUUUUCCAGAACCAGUCAGAAAAUUAAAACAAGACUAAGAACAAACAAUCACUGUCACCACCACCACCACCACCACCAAAAAGAUCCACCAACAGACUCCUGCCUGGGGUGGAGACAUGCCCCACUUUCAUGAUGGAUGCAGUGGCAUCACCAACUGCUUUCACACUCGGUGGCUUCAGUGGUUCCUUGAGCAUGUUCGGCUGUCAAUUUGAGGAGCUCACUGGCAGAAUCAGCAGGAUGGAUGAAAAGCCAGCCAAACCAUAAAGUAUUAUUUAAAGACAAAGUAGCAAAAUGUGAGGCCCUCUUGCUCUGUGCUUGCUUAUUCAAGUAUCCCAGCAAUUUUACCUUCAUCACUGUGCUGCCGGGUCUGGUAGGUGUUGAUCAUCAGUAAUCCAUGAAGAACUCAAAUAUGGCUUCUAAGAAAUCCAUUUUAUGUGCAUAACAUUUAUGAAAGCAACAAGAUAUUGUGGAAAUAUCCAAUCUGCUCAGAAUCCAGUCACAAAUCCUUUUUGGGGAAAAGACCUAAAACCAUUCUUGCAUUCCACUCUUUAUGAAAUUGGAAAAAAAACAUAUCUUUGAGAGGAGGAUGCUCCAGUAUUUAACGUUCUCUAUGUUAUAUUCCUUCCCACUAUACGACAGAAACAGAGCCCGUUCUUUAAAAAAAAUUCUGUGUGACAACCACCGUCUUCCAAUUUGUUUUAAUUCAGGCACAGAUGGAGGAGUCUGGACUGCCAGGAUGUGGCUUGUUGGGCUGCAGGAAUCUCCUUCACGAAGAGACACCUGGGAGCCUUGA
rnacentral:lncRNA from 1 species